UACGAAGGGGGCUAGCGUUGCUCGGAAUUACUGGGCGUAAAGAGCGCGCAGGCGGUCGUGCAAGUCGCGUGUGAAAGCCCCCGGCUCAACUGGGGAGGGUCACGCGAUACUGCUCGACUCGAAGGCAGGAGAGGGAAGUGGAAUUCCCGGUGUAGUGGUGAAAUGCGUAGAUAUCGGGAGGAACACCAGUGGCGAAGGCGACUUCCUGGCCUGUUCUUGACGCUGAGGCGCGAAAGCUAGGGUAGCAAACGGG
rnacentral:rRNA from 1 species